rnacentral:lncRNA from 1 species
CAAGUACUUGACUGCACCCAGUGACCUUCCGUCACUGAAUUAGAAAUUCAGGUAGUCCGGUACCAAAGUAUAGUGAGUUGCUUGUAGUCACAGGUUGCGGUCUCAGGUCAGAGGGCCAAACUUAUACCCAUAUCCACUCGAAACAUCUCUCGACAGUAGAGCGUUCCGAAAUUGGUCACGUUUAGUGAAAUGUACUUCUACACUUCACUUGUGUGGCAUACC